UUAUCUAUAUUAUUUCAUUAAGGACUUAUAUUUCUACCUUGGCCAGCUAUCUAUUUUGCCAAAAAGCUCACUUUUUUUUUAUAUAUUAUUGAACCUAAUUUUUCUCUGUCAACAUAGAGUCGUUUCUGAAGGCUUGAUUAAUCCAAUAAAUCGUCAGUAUGUUGUAAGUAUAUAAUCAAAUCAUUUGUAUUUUUGGGAACCUCAGACUUACAGUAAACCAUAGUGUGUGUCUAUCUUUAAAACUGCUUUUGAUGAUAGUACAGAAACGGACAAUUUUCCCGUCCAAAUCUGAUGCAUAAUUAGACCAGCUGAAUUAGGUUUCCAUUUUUGCUACGGCUCCUGAAAUGCCACACUACAAACUUUUAGUUAUAAUAGUAUGCCAAAAAACAAAAGUCUAGACAACAUUGAACAACCUCGAGUCGUUUGUAAAGGUACCAGAGGCAAAAAAUUUGGAAAUGUGCACAAAGGGGCGGAUCCAGGAAUUGCAGUUACGGGAACGCCACUUUAUGAGGCAGGGGAUCUGGGGACCGCCUUGAGGCCUUCAGUGGGUCCAGGGCGAAGCCUCCGAAAGCUCCUGGAUUUUACAGAUUUUAUAGGGCUUGAAAUAUGUCUCCUAUUUAGUCAUUUGUACUAUUUUCUAUCAUUUCUUAUAAGGUGAAAUUAAUAAAAUGAAGCAAAUUUUAAGGGUUUUUCGAAAAAAUUAAGUUCUCCCAAUAAAGUAAUUCAAGAAAUCAAAA